rnacentral:piRNA from 1 species
UAGUGACAGGGUCUGAGAAAGAUGC